AAUUUACUGGCAUUAAUAUUAUUAUUACUACUAAAAAUGAGAAAAAUGCAACAAGAAGAAGAAGAAAAAAUGGAAAAUGAAAAGAAAAAAAAUGAAGAAAAAGAAGAAUGAAAAAUGAAGUUAAAGAAAUAUGAAGCUUUAAGGAGAGGAAAAAUGAAACCAGAAGAAGGAAAAAGAAAAAGAAAAACCCAAACGAAAAGGCCCAAUAAUCCAUUCUCAGCCCAGAAAAGCCCAAAAUCCAGAAAAACCGAAUGCUUCAGACCAGAAACGGCAUCCUUCUUCUUCCUUCUGUCAACAAAGUGAGAGAGAGAGAGAGAGAGAGGUUAGGUUUCUGAAAAUGAAAAGAAACAGAGGACUGAGGAGAGUAAGGAGCAGGUAAAGGGGAGGGCUGAUAAUUGAUGGUGAGCGGGCAAAGGGGAAACGUGAUGGUGGCAACUAAUUGAAUACGACCGUGUUGAGGAGAUAGAGAAGACCUCGUAAAUUGAAGAGUCCUCGAGCUGUGAAGAUGGGGUCAGAGAAGGAGGUGAAAAGGAAAACCCGCCAAUGAAACAUUGACAAAAAAGUCAAAGGAGAGGAGAAUGGAGAGGGAGACCUGAACGUCGAGUGCCGUGAAACCAGAGGACUUCGGUUCCCUCUUCAGUUUUUCUUUGGUGAAAAGCAUUAGGGAGAAACAGAGGAGGGAACUGGAAGAAGAAGGAAGGCAAAAGAUAGAGUCAGAGAAGGACUUGCAAGAGAGGAAAAUUCUGCUUUGGAGAAACGGUAUACCCAAAAUUUCCUCUCUGGUUCAAUCUUUGUAUGUCAGUACUAAUUGUAAUGGAAAAUUGUGUUUGAAACUGUGAUUUCGAAUUUUUUUUUUUUUACGGAAGUUGAUAUACGAUUGAAACAUGUUCGUUUUUCAAGAAUGAUGAAGCAUGCCAGUAACCGUAGGACACAUUUCCUUUUUUGUUGAAAUAAAAUUAUAGAGAGUUAUUAUUCCCAAAGGUACCAAAAGGGGUAUCACCCGUAUUUAAAAAUGUUACAAUUCAAUUAAGUGAUCAAUGAUAUGCCCAAAAUCUUCCAACCUAUUCUUGUAAUGACCCAAGACUAUGGAACCAAAAAUAUGAAGCCAUCUAUCCCUCAUACUAACCAUCUCCCUUUCAACACUCUCAAAAGAUCUAGCAUUUCUUUUCUUCCGAACAACCCAAAAGAUAGAUAAAGGAAUUAAAAGCAAAUAGGUUUUCUUUUUACAUAAACCCGCCCAAGCCCAUAACUCAUCCCUCACCGAGCACGCAAUUAUCCAAUUGAUCCCUAGGAGACUAUACACCAUAAUCCAUAUGUUAUAAACCACAGAGCACCAUAGCAGUAUGUGAUUAUAGGAUUCUGCAUUUUUUUACACAAAUAACAUCGAUUAACCAUAAUUUUACCUCUCUGCAUCGACUUAUCUAUAGUCAAUAUGCAAUUCUUACUCGCUCCCAAGUAAAAAAGGCUACUCUCUUGGGGGAGCCUUUAUCUUCCAUAUCUAUUUUGCCGAAUAAGAGAUCAUAAUCAUUCCCUUCCCUCCUAGUCAAAUGCUUGUAAAAGGUCUUCAUAGAGAGGUCUCCUUGUUUUCUCAAUUUCCACAUCAGCUGUUUAUUAUGACUCUAACUGAAUCUGUGAUAGCAUGGGGAGUAAUGCUUUAUAUUUCUCAAUUUCCCAAUCAUUCA
rnacentral:lncRNA from 1 species